rnacentral:sRNA from 1 species
ACACGAUGGGUCCCCCUUACAUUUGAA